rnacentral:rRNA from 1 species
GGAAGGAUCAUUGAAUAUGCAAACCACAACACGCACUGAACCAAAACAUGGAGCGUCGACCUGAAGCUCCGCUUUGCUUCAAAGCGGGGCUUCAACUAUUUUACCAACCUUUUCACCAUUACAAACAUGGAUUCAAACCAAACUCUGAAGUUGUGGCUGGCAGUAGUUGCCAGUCUUAACCAAAAACAACUCUCAACAACGGAUAUCUUGGCUCUCGCAACGAUGAAGAACGCAGCGAAAUGCGAUACGUAGUGUGAAUUGCAGAAUUCCGUGAACCAUCGAAUCUUUGAACGCAUAUUGCGCUCGACCCCUCGGGGAAGAGCAUGUCUGCCUCAGCGUCGGUUACAACCCUCACCCCACUCAUUUCCUCAAUGAGCCUGUUGGCUUUGCUCAAAGCCAACUCAGGGGUGGAUCUGGCUUCCCCAGCCUGCACCCUGUGUGCCUGGCUGGGUUGGCUGAAGCAUAGAGGCUUAAACUGGGACCCCAUUGGGCUCAACUGGAUAGGUAGCUACUCCUUGCUCUUGCAGCGAGGUGCCUACACGAAGUUGGGUUGGUGGAUCUGGUUAGAGGCCAAGCAGGAAUCAUGCCUUCUGGCGUGACCUUCAAGGUUCGACCUGAGCUCAGGCAAGGCUA